UAUUCAAAUACAUAUAUGUUCCAGCCAUGGAUAUGCAUAUUAUUCAGGGUAUAUGCAUAAAAAAGUCAUCUUCCAAGAUAAUGAAAGCUAGCUUAAGGGUUAGCAUGCAGAGUUACUUUAGACCAAAGUUUAUGAAAGUCAAUGAUCUAUCAUCUACCCACUUGCUUCAGAUAUCUAUAAUGAUCCCCACCUUUGCCCUUCUUAUCAACAAGAGAAGACAGCCUCUCACUUCCAUUUUUCCUUUAAAAAGUUGGAAAAAAAAAAAAGUAAAAACCCUUAAACAAAGCACUCCACAUCUUUCUCUGAGUUGACAGACUUAAAGCGUUCCAACUUCCAACACCAAAGGAGUCUGUUUUCUCUAUCUGUGAUGAAUGCUUUCCUUUUUCCCGAUCACAGAGUAUAAUAGGCCGGUGAUGAUUUUCUGCUGAAGAAGAUGGUUUUAAUUAUUUGUGUUGACAGAAGAUAGAGAGCACAACUGAACAAACCCAACAAAGGCUUUGUGUUUGAGCUGUUUGUGCUCUCUCUUCUUCUGUCACCAUAAUUUUCUGCUGUUUCGAACAUUAUCAUCCUCCUUGCCUCGGGGUUUUCUGUUAUAUCUCCAUGUUCUGUUAAGGUAAGAUGCAUGAAUACUUGGUUCUUGCUAUAAGGUUAAUUAUCCUCAACUGAACUUUGUUCCGGGGUUUG